AUUGCAUCACACGCACACAGAUACUCACACACACAGACGCUCAUGCUCAUUCGCCUGGAUGUAUUCCUUUAUAUGAAACCCUCGUAUUAUGUUGAUUAAAAUGGAACAUGUUAAACAGAUAA